UCAACAACCUGUGGCCAGCAAUAACAAAACAAAACAUUGCGUUCAAGUUUUGUUCAGAUUCUGAUUCAUAUUAAAACUCAUUUUUUGUCAAUCCAUUCGUUUGUCCGGCAUAAAUUUUAGUAUCUGUACACAAUAUGAUCAGAAUUAAAGAUAGAUAAUUGAUUUUUGGUGUUCCCAGUCCUUCACACGCGGCUUAUUGGCCAUUCAGGCAACAUAGCAACAGGAAAGAAAUUGCGGACAAGCGACAGCAAAACCAAAGCAGGAGGAUAGCAGCUUAAUUUAAAAUGGAUGAGAUAACUGGCAACUUCAUUACCGCCAACCCCACCCAGAUUCGUUUCUUCCCUACUCUUGAAUCUCUUCUGUGGAACCAACCAACCUCGAACAGGGUCACUUGCAUCACCCUGCACGAAGAUUCGCCAGAGUACUAAAAGCUGGUUGAGCAAAUCACGCAUUUUUGUGACCGUGAUUGGCUUCUCGCUGCUGCUUCCAUGGCACCAACAGUAACAACGCGCCAAACAUUGCGGCCAACAACCUGAACUGGCGCUUUUUCGGCAGGGCAGUUGGGAAUUUGAACACCACAUUGCAGCGCGAAUGAUUCCUCGGAAACUUUUCGACUUUGCUUGUGAAGGAUGAAAUUUAUCUGGGUGUAAAUGCAGAAGUUGAAGUUUUAAGAGGGAAGACUGUGAUUUUCCUGUACUGCGUAAUGUAAGUACAAAUAUUAAUAAAUAUUACGUUAUUAUAAAUAGCAGUAUCGGUACACAGAUAUUGAAACAAUUAAAAAAAUUGUUCAAAAUAAUAGGAUUCUCAUAACAGAGUUCGAUUCUUUAAAAAAGACAUACAAAAUCAUCAAAUAACCCAUGAUAAUCAACAAAGGAAAAUUAGUUGCUGAGGAGAAAAAUUUUCCAAAUUCGGGUUUAAAUGUUUCAUUCUUUUUCUGAGGAUUCGCCUGUGUAAUCAAAUCAAAAUUUGGGUAAAAUGUUCAAAUUAUCAAAAGGGCAGCAAUGAUGAAAUAAAAAAAUUUAUUCAGAAGCCAAGGAAGUUUUUCAGUAAAUUGAGAAAAGUCUGGAUAGCGCAUCCGGCGGUGACAACUUUUGUAGCCAUCGUGAGAUAGCUGAAUUCUUCCUGGUGCCCAGCUGGUUAAAAAACAAUGAAUAACAAUUCUUAUGUAUACAAAGUUACCUGAAA